rnacentral:ncRNA from 2 species
CUCUUAUCAAGAGUGGCGGAGGGACUGGCCCGAUGAAGCCCGGCAACCAGCUGAAAGCAUGGUGCCAAAUCCUGUAGGAUUUGUUCCUAACAGAUGAGAG